GAAACAGUAAUACUAAAAACACUUGACCUAUUGUGACUUCUUUUUUUUUGUCAUUUUUGAGGACUCUUCAUUUCGCCACUAUUGUACAGAAAGUCACAAGACAGUUGACAUUUGAAUUCUUAUCUUCACUAUUCAAGAAUUACAAGAAGCAGCAGAAGCGAUUACUGGUAACACGGCUGUCAUGGAUAGCGUCACAGUCAUAGAAAAAACUACUUUGUGCCGUCAGAUUCAAAAAUUUAAAAAAAGCACUACAUUUCUUAUUUUAGAGAAAAAAAACAUUUUUUUUCAGAAAUUUCCUUUUAAGUGUCAUCACUCAUCCAUUUCUUGAUUUUUACACAUAAAAUGAACAGCAGAAUAUUUCUAUUACGCUAAGAGAACGUCACUACAGGACUGUGCAUGGGUGGCUUUUACCCCCCACCCCAAACAAAAAAAAAAAAGAAAAAUUGACAAAAAGUAGCACUGGACACAACUCACUAUAAUGAUUCAUUAAAGGCUUUGGGGUGGAACGUUAUCACCAAGUCACGAGGUAUCACAUCUAGUAAAAGCAGACACGAGAUGAACGCCAACUUGCACAGCUGUGACCAGCACACGCUGUGUCUCAACUAAUUUUUGAUGUUUAGACCCCCCCCCAAAAAAAAAAAAAAAAAACUCGAUUGUAGAGCCGAGCAAUUCGACGCGAACUAGGAAAGGGAUUAUUAAUGAUUGACGAUAUAGAGGGCACCGUCUGGGAGCAACCAAAGGGGGCGCUGUUGAUUCAUCCUCCACCAGUAUGUGGUAGAAGAAGAAAAGGUCGAAGGAACGCUGGAGCCAAUCCCAGCUGUCAUCAGGCAGGAGUCAGGGUACACCCUGAACUGGUUGCCGGCCAAUCGGUUGGGGAACGAUGGUGUGAUAACUCUUCAUCCAGCGUCUACACUGCUUUUCGUGUUCAGGGUCAAAGGCGAACUGGAGCCCAUCCCGACUGACUUCAAGCGAAAACUGGACGACACCCUGGACUGUGGUCUUCACGCAGCUCUCGGCGGCCCUGUUGGCCGAGAUGUUGGCGUUGCGGUUCUGGCAGUCCGACUCGAUGCUGUUGUCCAGCUGCUGGCCGCUGCCCCGGCAGGCGUGGCACGAGCUGAGGAAGGCGUGCC